rnacentral:rRNA from 1 species
ACGCUCGACACCUACGGGAGGCAGCAGUGGGGGAUAUUGCACAAUGGGGGAAACCCGUGAUGCAGCAACGCCGCGUGAGGGAAGAAGGUUUUCGGAUUGUAAACCUCUGUUCUUAGUGACGAUAAUGACGGUAGCUAAGGAGAAAGCUCCGGCUAACUACGUGUCAGCAGCCGCGGUAAUCUGAGCGGGCUGGCAAGGC